GGGGGUGUGGGCAUGUGAGUGUGUGUGUGUCACUUGGGUCCACGCUCAUGCACACACCCACACGCCCACACUCCAGC